GAGCGGGCAUCGCAAGAUGUCAGCGGCAGACGGGAGAGUAACACGUGGGAACGUGCCCUUCAGUUCGGAACAACCCAGGGAAACUUGGGCUGAUACCGGAUACGUCCGUAAGGAGAAAGAUUUAUUGCUGAAGGAUCGGCCCGCGUCUGAUUAGCUAGUUGGUGGGGUAAUGGCCCACCAAGGCGACGAUCAGUAGCUGGUCUGAGAGGAUGAUCAGCCUCACUGGGACUGAGACACGGCCCAUACUCCUACGGGAGGCAGCAGUGGGGAAUAUUGGACAAUGGGCGCAAGCCUGAUCCAGCCAUGCCGCGUGGGUGAUGAAGGCCCUAGGGUUGUAAAGCCCUUUCGGCGGGGAAGAUAAUGACGGUACCCGCAGAAGAAGCCCCGGCUAACUUCGUGCCAGCAGCCGCGGUAAU
rnacentral:rRNA from 1 species